rnacentral:rRNA from 1 species
UGGGGAAUAUUGCACAAUGGGGGAAACCCUGAUGCAGCGACGCCGCGUGGAGGAAGAAGGUCUUCGGAUUGUAAACUCCUGUUGUAAGGGACGAUAAUGACGGUACCUUACAAGAAAGUGACGGCUAACUACGUGCCAGCAGCCGCGGUAAAACGUAGGUCACAAGCGUUGUCCGGAAUUACUGGGUGUAAAGGGAGCGCAGGCGGGAAGGUAAGUUGGAAGUGAAAUCUACGGGCUCAACCCGUAAAUUGCUUUCAAAACUGCUUUUCUUGAGUGGUGCAGAGGUAGGCGGAAUUCCCGGUGUAGCGGUGGAAUGCGUAGAUAUCGGGAGGAACACCAGUGGCGAAGGCGGCCUACUGGGCACUAACUGACGCUGAGGCUCGAAAGUGUGGGUAGCAAACA